UACGUAGGGGGCAAGCGUUGUCCGGAAUCAUUGGGCGUAAAGCGCGCGUAGGCGGCCCUGUAAGUCCGCUGUAAAAGUCAAAGGCUCAACCUUUGAAAGCCGGUGGAUACUGCAGGGCUAGAGUCCGGAAGAGGCGAGUGGAAUUCCCGGUGUAGCGGUGAAAUGUGCAGAUAUCGGGAAGAACACCCGUGGCGAAGGCGGUUCUCUGGGACGGUACUGACGCUGAGACGCGAAAGCGUGGGGGGCGAACAGG
rnacentral:rRNA from 1 species